ACGCUCGACACCUACGGGACAGCAGUGAGGAAUAUUGGUCAAUGGACGCAAGUCUGAACCAGCCAUGCCGCGUGCAGGAUGACGGCUCUAUGAGUUGUAAACUGCUUUUGUACGAGGGUAAACGCAGAUACGUGUAUCUGUCUGAAAGUAUCGUACGAAUAAGGAUCGGCUAACUCCGUGCCGGCAGCCGCGGUAAUCUGAGCGGGCUGGCAAGGC
rnacentral:rRNA from 1 species